AAUGUUGCGGCUGCUAUAGCAGUUAUUAUUCUUAUUAGCUUGCCGAACAUGAGUCUGAACUUCGAAUUUUAUAAGGUAAUGAUCGGACAUUACUUUAGUAUACGGGAGUAUCAUAACUUUGGAGACGGUGAUACCUCUGACAAGCACUAGGUCUAUCGUAUUGCCGCUGCGAUGCGUCGGUUCAUUUAUUAUUUGUGUAAGACCACAGCUAUCAAUUAUAGUCUGGAGCGCCACGCACGGUGGGUCCAAUGGGGUAUUCAUAUGGAUAUUAAAGUCCCCCAUUAUGAUUAUAUUAUCGGCGUGCGUCACUAGAUCAGCAACAAACUCUGAGAAUUCACUAAUAAAGUCCGAAUAGGGCCCUGGGGGGCGGUAGAUAACGGCCAGGCACAGAGGCAGAGGUGUGGCAGACUUCAUAGAAAGCACCUCAAACGAUUUAUAUUUAUUAUUUAAGUUAGGACUAAAGUUAAAGUUUUCGUUGUAUAUUAGUGCGACACCCCCUCCCCUUUUGAGGUGACGGGCAAUAUGCGCAUUCGUAUAGUUAGGAGGGGAUGCCUCAUUUAUCGCAAAAAACUCGUCUGGUUUAAGCCAGGUUUCGCUAAGACCGAUGACGUUAAGGUUGUUGUCUCUAAUGACCUCAUUGACUAAUAACGUUUUGGGAGACAAAGAUCUGAUGUUUAGAAAGCCCAUAUUAUAGGUAGUGGGCUGUUUUAAGGAGUUGUUGAUGAAAUUAUCCGUCGUAGCAAUAUUAAUAAUGUUACGUUUAUUAUGCGCAGUGUACUUAAAAUAAUUACGACCAUAUCUAGGAAUUGAUAUGACGGGAAUUUUCAGAUUGUCUACUUGGCGCUGCGAUAAACUGAACGCAUCAUAAUUUGCCACCUCAGUAGAGCGCAUGUCUAACUCUGACGUAGUCAUAGACACAGUAGAAAAAACAUUUUGUGAGUUGUGUAUUAUUCUACGAAAAUUGCUAUGUGUACAGGGAUCAUCCAGCCUGGCGCUGGCUAGUUCUAACUUAACUGACUCCAUACCCAGGCUAGCAGGCUCUGUAAUUGCCUGUGACCGGGCUUGCUCUAGUGCAGUUAGUCAAAUGUGGCUCAAUGCGAAGUCUAUGUUCCGAGACAAGAGGAUAGCGCCUUCCUGGUUAGGGUGAAGGCCGUCUCUCCUCAGCAAGCCAGGUUUGCCCCAGAAAGAGGGCCAAUUAUCAAUAAACGUAAAUCCCUGUUGUCUGCAGAAGCUAUCCAGCCACCUGUUAAGAGAGACUAAUCUGCUAUAUCUCUCAUCAUUGCCUCUCCCAGGCAGGGGGCCAGAGACAAUUACUCGAUGCCUGGACAUCUUUCUGGCGAGAUUACAAGCCCUGGCUAUGUUUCUCUUUGUAAUCUCUGAUUGUCUCAUCCUAACGUCAUUGGAGCCAACGUGUAUUACUAUAUUCGCAUAACUAGUGGUGCGGUUAGCCUGCCGUACGUGCUUACUAGACCUGUUGCGAGUUAGCUCCCUAAGAUUAGCUUCAAUGUCAGGUGCUCUGCCCCCGGGAAUACACUUAAUUGUGGCUGGUUUGCUAAGCUUUAUGUUUCGGGUGAUGGAGUCCCCUAUGACUAAAGUGUGGUGCCCGGUAGACUGGGGUGUAGGACUAGCUAAAGGGCUAAAUCUAUUAUGCGUCUCAACCGGUACACCGUAGCUUGUAGGCCGAUUAGGGCUGCUACAAGCUGGGCUAGUUAGCUCGCUACAGCUAACGCUAGCAGAUGUGUCCGCAACAUCUAAAGUUACGAAAUUACACUGCUCUAACUGGCGGACACGGCUCUCUAGCAAAGCCAACCUAUCCAUGAGUAAAGUGCACGAAGCGCAGGAAGCCAUACUCACAGAAACUUUCCGUCGCCGAGUGGAGUGCCAGCUGUCUUCGGGAAGUGGUGGUCACGGUGGCGGGGGAGUAGCUUCCUUCAGACCGGCGCUGCCUUUCUCCGCUAGCCUCGUUAGCUUAGCAGCUAGCUAGCUGAGGGCGGAGUGGUGAGACAGAGAUCGGGUGAUUUGCAAGUUAAAUGGAACUAUUAAAUAUGUUCGAUAAGUUGUAAAUAAAGCUGCAAAACAGUUAAAAUCACACAGAUAGAACGAUACUUAGCUUUUUUGCAACAAGAGCAGUCGGCGAGCAGUCAGUCACGGAUUCCCAAAACCUCAAAAAAGUCUGCGGGCUAUAGAGCAUUUUCAAUUCAGGCUCCAGUACUCUGGAAUGCCCUCCCGGUAACAGUUGGAGAUGCCACCUCAGUAAAAGCAUUUAAGUCUCACCUUAAAACUCAUUUGUAUACUUUAGCCUUUAAAUAGACUCCCUUUUUAGACCAGUUGGUCUGCCAUUUCUUUUCUUUUUCUCCUCUGUCCCACUCUCCCUUGUGGAGGGGGUCUGGUCCAAUGGCCAUGGAUGACGUACUGGCUGUCCAGAGUCGGGACCCAGGAUGGACCACUCGUCCAGAGUCGGGACCCGGGAUGGACCGCUUGCCUGUGUAUCGGCUUGGGACAUCUCUGCGCUGCUGAUCCGCCUCCGCUUGGGAUGGUUUCCUGCUGGCUCCGCUGUGGACGGGACUCUCGCUGCUGUGUUGGAUCCACUAUGGAUUGAACUUUCAGAGUAUCAUGUUAGACCCGCUCGACAUCCAUUGCUUUCCUCCUCUCCAAGGUUCUCAUAGUCAUCAUAGUCACCGAUGUCCCACUGGGUGUGAGUUUUCCUUGCCCUUAUGUGGGCCUACCGAGGAUGUCGUAGUGGUUGGUGUUGUGGUUUGUGCAGCCCUUUGAGACACUAGUGAUUUAGGGCUAUAUAAGUAAACAUUGAUUGAUUGAUUGAUAAUUAUGAGGGAAAAAUUGAUGUUCAAUCCUGAGUGUAAACAUAGCUUGUUUCAAGGGAAGUUAAACAAUAACUGAAAAUCGCAAGAAGAAGUUAUUGGGGAUACGAAGAUUAUGGGGAAUUUAUUUGAUAAACAGGGGGGAAUGUCAGAAGAAUUCAGUGUAAAUUAUCAAAUAAAACCUUGUAUUACAUUGUGUUCCUGACGAGAAGAAAAAAGGCUGGAGCUUUCCAAGAAGAAUGCUGGACUUCCAGGCGGACAGAUGGCAGAAUCUGCCCAACUUCCAGAGAAACUCUUUUAAGUAUUUUUACGAACCCUCUUUGAUCUAUUUUAUGGGACUUUCUUUGAUCUGUUCGGGAACCAAAGGCAAUGCUGGUCAUGACCCACUUCCAUGAGGAAGCAGCUGUGGGAAGGAGGGGGGUGAAAAUCAAAUAAAGAACCACGAGAACGAUCUUGGGGCAGAGCAUGGUGCAGGAUUUGUACAGGCAGUACAAUGGCCAUGCCUCUCCUCGGAUCCGAGUAUAAAUUGAAUUCUGUCUCUGUUUGAUUCUUUGCCUUUUUGUCCUGUUUAAUAGAUGUCAUCAAUGUUUGAACCUGACAGAUGGAGGUCUCGCAACUACGUCUUCACAGAGACAACAGUCAGUGGAAACUUGCUGACAUCAGCCUCCUCCUGCCCUACAGGACACUCUCCCUCCUGACUGAUCCACACUUCCUCCUCUUCCUCUUUCAUGUGGGGGGGCUGUGGAACCUCCUGCUGCUGAAGGGGACGUUCUUCUUGACGAGCGUUCAUCUGUUGGACGUCCGCAAGACAACACAAACAAACUUCAGCUCAGAUGUGUCAAAUAUUUUUUAAUCUAUCAAAUAUAAUAUUUUCCAAGUGGACUGACACCACUUUGUGGUGAUGUUCUUCUACACAUGGAAUAAUCAUCAGUUAUUGAUUAUUAUGAAUUGUGUUAUUGAUCCUGUUUUCUGCAUUUACAUUAAUUACUGAUUAAAAAGUAACAACUUAAAGAAAA